rnacentral:pre_miRNA from 1 species
AACAUUCAACGCUGUCGGUGAGUUUGAGAAUUAGAAAAAACCAUCGACCGUUGACUGUACC